rnacentral:rRNA from 1 species
AUGAAGUCGGAAUUGCUAGUAAUCGCAGAUCAGCAUGCUGCGGUGAAUACGUUCCCGGGCCUUGUACACACCGCCCGUCACACCAUGGGAGUCGGUAACACCCGAAGUCGGUAGUCUAACCGAAAGGAGGACGCCGCCGAAGGUGGGAUUGAUGACUGGGGUGAAGUCGUAACAAGGUAGC